rnacentral:ncRNA from 2 species
UAAAUCUUCGGCGAUGGAGUUCGCCCAAACCGUCCGGUCACGGACUGAUGACUCCUGGCGGCCC